rnacentral:rRNA from 1 species
AUUGAACGCUGGCGGCAGGCCUAACACAUGCAAGUCGAGCGGAGCGGCGGACGGGUGAGUAAUGCCUAGGAAUCUGCCUGGUAGUGGGGGAUAACGUCCGGAAACGGGCGCUAAUACCGCAUACUAUCAGAUGAGCCUAGGUCGGAUUAGCUAGGUGGGGGGGUAAAGGCCUACCAGUGCGACGAUCCGUAACUGGGCCGAGAGGAUGAUCAGUCAAGGUGGAACUGAGACACGGUCCAGAUUCCGACGGAAGGAAGAAGUGGGGAAUAUUGGACAAUGGGCGAAAGCCUGAUCCAGACAUGCAGCGUGUGUGAAGAAGGUCUUCGGAUGGUAAAGCUCUUUAAGUUGGGAGGCGUUACCAACAGAAUAAGCAACGGCUAACUUCGUGCCAGCAGCCGCGGUAAUAC